rnacentral:rRNA from 1 species
UACGUAGGGAGCAAGCGUUGUCCGGAUUUAUUGGGCGUAAAGAGCUCGUAGGCGGUUUGUUGCGUCGGCUGUGAAAUCCCGAGGCUCAACCUCGGGUCUGCAGUCGAUACGAGCAAACUAGAGUGUUGCAGGGGAGACUGGAAUUCCUGGUGUAGCGGUGAAAUGCGCAGAUAUCAGGAGGAACACCGGUGGCGAAGGCGGGUCUCUGGGCAACAACUGACGCUGAGGAGCGAAAGCGUGGGGAGCGAACAGG